rnacentral:rRNA from 1 species
AGUUGUAAUUUGGAGACGGGACACUAGAGAGGAGGAAGGCGAUUAAGUGCCUUGGAACAGGCUGCCGUAGAGGGUGAGAGCCCCGUGAAUCGCUGGAGACCGAUCAAUUAGUGCCCGCCGAAGAGUCGAGUUGUUUGGGAAUGCAGCUCUAAGUGGGUGGUAUAUUCCAUCUAAGGCUAAAUAUUAGCGAGAGACCGAUAGCAAACAAGUACAGUGAUGGAAAGAUGAAAAGAACUUUGGAAAGAGAGUGAAAUAGUACGUGAAAUUGUUGAAAGGGAAGGGUAUUUGAUCCGACAUGGUGUUUAGCAGCGGCCCGUUCCUCGUGGAUGGGUGCACCUGGUUUACACUGGGCCAGCAUCGGUUCUGGGAGCCAUAUACGGGGUUCGUGAAUGUGGCCCUUCGAUUCUGUCGGAGGGUGUUAUAGCGCGGACAUCUUGUGGCUAGCCGGGACCGGGGACUGCGGUGACUU